GGCACAGUGGUCUAAUGGUAUGACUCCUGCUAUGUAAUGACCUGCUAAAUUGAUGGUAAAUUGAUGCAGAGAGUAGGUGAUCUGCGUUCAAUUCCCAGCUGAGCCU